rnacentral:lncRNA from 1 species
CACAAGUCUGAUCAUGGAAGCACCACCCCAAUGAUCUUAUCUCAUUCUAAUUACCUCUCAAAGGUCUCACCUGUAAAUAUCAUCAACAUCUGAAUUUAAGUUUUCAACAUAUGAAAUUUGGUGGAUAUAGUCAAACUGUAGCAGUCAUGAAGCAAGAAUCGAAUACUUUCAAAGACUUUGAAUCAUAUAGAAUGUUUUCUCUUCACAACAGAAAAAAUUAUAAAUCAAUAACAAGAAGAUAUCUGGGAUAUUUUCAGGUGAGUAUGAUGCAUCCAACUACUUCAAGGGUGCCUC